rnacentral:rRNA from 1 species
GACGAACGCUGGCGGCGUGCUUAACACAUGCAAGUCGAACGGUGAAGCGCCUUCCUUUUUGGUGGGUGUGGAUGAGUGGCGAACGGGUGAGUAACACGUGAGUAACCUGCCCCCUUCUUCUGGAUAACCGCAUGAAAGUGUGGCUAAUACGGGAUAUUCUGGGCCUGUCGCAUGAUGGGUCUGGGAAAGAUAUUGUUUCGGUGGGGGAUGGGCUCGCGGCCUAUCAGCUUGUUGGUGGGGUGAUGGCCUACCAAGGCGGUGACGGGUAGCCGGCCUGAGAGGGUGGACGGUCACACUGGGAAUGAGACACGGCCCAGACUCCUACGGGAGGCAGCAGUGGGGAAUAGUGCACAAUGGGCGCAAGCCUGAUGCAGCGACGCCGCGUGAGGGAUGGAGGCCUUCGGGUUGUGAACCUCUUUCGCCAGUGAAGCAGGCCUGCCUCGUUUGUGGGUGGGUUGACGGUAGCUGGAUAAGAAGCGCCGGCUAACUACGUG